GAUGAACGCUAGCGGGAGGCCUAACACAUGCAAGCUGAGCGGUAGAGGCCCUUCGGGGUCUUGAGAGCGGCGUACGGGUGCGGAACACGUGUGCAACCUGCCUUUAUCAGGGGGAUAGCCUUUCGAAAGGAAGAUUAAUACCCCAUAAUAUUUUGGAUGGCAUCAUUUAAAAUUGAAAACUGAGGUGGAUAAAGAUGGGCACGCGCAAGAUUAGAUAGUUGGUGAGGUAACGGCUCACCAAGUCGAUGAUCUUUAGGGGGCCUGAGAGGGUGAUCCCCCACACUGGUACUGAGACACGGACCAGACUCCUACGGGAGGCAGCAGUGAGGAAUAUUGGACAAUGGGUUAGCGCCUGAUCCAGCCAUCCCGCGUGAAGGACGACGGCCCUAUGGGUUGUAAACUUCUUUUGUACAGGGAUAAACCUAUCUACGUGUAGAUAGCUGAAGGUACUGUACGAAUAAGCACCGGCUAACUCCGUG
rnacentral:rRNA from 1 species